rnacentral:lncRNA from 1 species
AUAUCUUAGACAAUGAAGGGUUCCACUUCCUCUCAAGAUCCUUCAAAUGAUUCAUGUCCUCAAAAGAUGAACUCCAUAGUUCAUCCAGUUGGAGAUCAACACAAAGCAGUUGUGAAUUCUGUAAUCCAUUAACUGGCGAAUUUGGAACUUUCACUUCACUGGACAUCAACACAAAGCAGUUGUGAAUUUUGUAAUCCAUUAACUGGCGAAUUUGGAACUUUCACUUCACUGGAGAGUCUUGAAUGCACAGGUGUUAUUAAGGCCAUGCUAAUUACAAGUGAGAAGUGACCGACACCAACAACAACCACCCAGUAUAAUCCCACUUAGUGGGGUCUGAGUAGGGUAGUGUGCAGAACUUACCCCUACACUUGGGUAGAGAGGUUGUUUCCAAAUAGACCCCCGGCAUCCUUCCCUCCAAGAACUUCCCACCUUGCUCUUGGGGAGACUCG